UACGUAGGGACCGAGCGUUGUCCGGAAUCAUUGGGCGUAAAGAGCGUGUAGGCGGCCACUUAAGUCCUGCGUGAAAUCUUGCGGCUCAACCACAAGCGGUCGUGGGAAACUGGGUGGCUAGAGUGCGGGAGAGGAGAGUGGAAUUCCUGGUGUAGCGGUGGAAUGCGCAGAUAUCAGGAAGAACACCCGUGGCGAAGGCGGCUCUCUGGAACGCAACUGACGCUGAGACGCGAAAGCGUGGGGAGCGAACAGG
rnacentral:rRNA from 1 species